GCUGGGCGUGGUGGUGGGCUCCUGUAAUCCCAGCUACUUGGGAGGCUGAGGCAGGAGAAUCACUUGAACCCAGGAGGCAGAGGUUGCAGUGAGCCAAGAUAGUGCCAUUGCAUUCCCGCCUGGGUGAUAGAGUGAGACUUUGUCUCAA
ensembl:misc_RNA Metazoa_SRP Metazoan signal recognition particle RNA